rnacentral:rRNA from 1 species
UACGUAGGGGGCAAGCGUUGUCCGGAUUUAUUGGGCGUAAAGAGCGUGUAGGCGGUUUUGUAGGUCCGCUGUGAAAACUCGAGGCUCAACCUCGAGACGCCGGUGGAAACCAUCAGACUAGAGUCCGGAAGAGGAGAGUGGAAUUCCUGGUGUAGCGGUGAAAUGCGCAGAUAUCAGGAAGAACACCCGUGGCUAAGGCGGCUCUCUAGUACGGUACUGACGCUGAGACGCGAAAGCGUGGGGAGCGAACAGG